GACGAACGCUGGCGGCGUGCUUAACACAUGCAAGUCGAACGGAAAGGCCCUGCUUUUGUGGGGUGCUCGAGUGGCGAACGGGUGAGUAACACGUGAGUAACCUGCCCUUGACUUUGGGAUAACUUCAGGAAACUGGGGCUAAUACCGGAUAGGAGCUCCUGCUGCAUGGUGGGGGUUGGAAAGUUUCGGCGGUUGGGGAUGGACUCGCGGCUUAUCAGCUUGUUGGUGGGGUAGUGGCUUACCAAGGCUUUGACGGGUAGCCGGCCUGAGAGGGUGACCGGCCACAGUGGGACUGAGAUGCGGCCCAGACUCCUUCGGGAGGCAGCGGUGGGGAGUAUUGCACAAUGGGCGGAGGCCUGAUGCAGCAUCGCCGCGUGCGGGAUGACGGCCUUCGGGUUGUAAACCGCUUUCGCCUGUGACGAAGCGUGAGUGACGGUAAUGGGUAAAGAAGCACCGGCUAACUACGU
rnacentral:rRNA from 1 species